CAGGGAAGCCAACCGAGGCAGGAGUGAGGUGACGAAGACAAACACCCCACGAGCACGGGACACGAGCACGGCUCCCAGCCCCCCCAGUCAGGACGCGGCCAGGUGCUGGUGGAAGUAGAGGCCGAAGAGGCUGGUGACGACCUGGCACGCAGCCACCCACCAGGUGAGGAAGGCGAAGAGUCCACGGAAGAAGAGCGGGGUGAGGAUCCCGCCCAGCACGCCCGUGAUCUGCUCCACCGCCGCGCGCACCUCCUCCCCGUCCUCACCGCCGGGACGCGAUGGAGCCGCAGCCACCGCCGCGGGGACGGGAGGGGACUCCGGGUACAGCCCCCACGAGUGGUGCCCCAACGUCUUGAGGAGCAGCGCGCAGUGCAGGGUGAGGAUGAUGGGCCCCAGGUACUGCAGGCUGACCACGGGCACGUAGCAGUAAAUCCUGGUGAUCUUGCGCUGGAUCUCCACGGCGGCGAUGCGUCCCGCUUCCUUCCGCAUCUGCUGCACCCAGCGCUCGGCCAGGCCCAGGUAGGCCUGCAGGUGGGGACGGGUGGCCGCCAGGCGCAGCCCGCACAGCCCCACCACGGCCCAGAGCCGCGCCGUGUUGAAGGCCGAGUCCGACAGGAUCUGCACCGUCUGUUUGCCCAUGGGCGCGUGCAGCACGAAGUCCCGCGAGAUGGGCCUGAUCCACAUCACCACCAGCAGCACCGGAGCCAGGAAACUGACGUGGAGCAGAACCUGGGCCAGGGGUCUGUCAGCCGCCAUCCGGAGGGCGUCGAGGUGCGUCUGGGCCAGGC
rnacentral:lncRNA from 1 species